rnacentral:misc_RNA from 1 species
CUGGCCAAUAUUGGUCCAAGCAGUGACUGAGUUAAUUUUGAUCUCUUAUUUGGUGUAAAUAAAACGCAGUGAACUUCAAUAACAGUAAACUAAGUUGGCCAAAUGUCUAAGUAACCGUGCUGGCAAGCAGACAAGUAGCCAAAAAGGCAAAUUGCCGAAAAGCCAAUUAUGGCAAUUGAUGAAAGAGAAAUCGUGAAAUAAUUGCGGAACAAUAUGAAAAAUGCGCAGCCGAAAAUUGCAAGCAAGCAAACAAACGCCAAUACAAUAACAAACGCAAAACAACAACUAACAAAUUUAACAACAACAACUAAAAAAUUUAACAACAACAACUAACAAAUAUAACAACAAACAAAUGAUCGAUAAAUAUGUGUGAAAAUAGUGUAAACAUGUGAAGUGAAAAUCACAAAACAGCAAACGCCAUUAAAGUGAAUUGCCGAAUUGCGGAGUGACGCUAUCGCGCUAAUAAAUAACGCUACCUUGAACUAAAACAACAACAACUACAAAUAAAUUAAGGCGAAAAUGUAUUGCGGUAAGGACUGCAGCUGCAGCUUGUGUCGCGAGCUGCGCAAUUACAAGCCCGCCAAGCCAGCCAAACGGCCCGCGCCACGCCCACCCACUUCACUAUUCGGACGCUUUAACGAGAAUUUCAUACUACGCCGACGCAGCACCAGCAACUCCUUCAAGACAUUCCAGCCGCAGUCGUUGAAAUGCAGCGAAAUGUUUCAGCAACGCGCCGCUGCGGCCACGCCGAAUGUCUACACCGCGCAGCCGACGCCGCAAGCCACAGCGCAACAACAAGAAGAUACAGUAGUAACAACAGAUGCGACACGCGCCAACAAACCGGCGGCGCUAAGCAAACCCAAUCACAAAGUUGUCAUCUACUUCGGCGACUCGAUUGCCAAUCGCGGCAAGCACAAUGUGGGUGAGACGGCCAAAGAUGUGGUGCAAGCCGCGCAGCUCUUGGAUGAUACUGCGACGCAACUCAAUGUGGCGACGUCUCAACACAGCACAAACAGCGCGUCAUGUUUAGCGCCCAAGCCGGCGGGCGAAGAUGAUUUGCCCUCCUACAUCGAGAGCGUGCAGAACGGUGUGAUCAACAUCAAGAUCGAAGGCAAUUAUCAGCGCGCCAGCGCUUUGGUCGAAACGGUGGCCAAGCCAACGCUCGCCACCGUGCAUGUGCUGGCCGAGGCGGAGCAGUUGGCUGGCGGUGUCGAGGACAAUGCGAGCCAGCAGUCAUGCGACUCGUGCGAUUGGAGCUUUGUGCAGGAGUGGCGCGCACGACCAACCGGCAAUAUGCGCGGCGACAUGCCCGUCGUAUUCAGCCCGCAACCAACGAACUCGCAACUACAUUGUCCCGUCGGCUCGCCAACAACAACAAACGCAUUGCCACAACAAAACCAAAUGAGCGCCAUGCCCGCAACGCCAUCCACCGGCACCACAAUGACCGCCAACUCCACGCCGCUCAACACACCAAAUGGUUUGAGUUCCUCAACCGGGCGCAUACAAAGCCCCGCUGUGGCGACACCGGCGCCACGCAUCUCCAAAGAGUUGGCACAGCGCUUUAAUAGUGGCGUUGGCGGCGCGCCCAAUAUGUUGGUUAGUUCACCGAACGGACACAGCGUCGUGCCUAAUACCACAAUCAAUAUAAGAAAUAUCAGCAGUCCGCCACAAGCGCCUAGCAAACCGUCACCGCAGCGCACCAUGGCAGCACCAGCGCGUCUAACGGUGCAAAGUACGCCAGUCAAAUCGCAGCCGCCCAUGUUGAGCGGCAAUCUGUCGUCGCAGCAACCGCAGCCGCAACAGCCGGCAGCAGCGCAACAAAAGUUCAGCGCCAAUGACAAGCGUCCGCUGCCAUUAUCAUUGGAUUUGAGUAAUUGCAGCAUCGGCAUACCAACAGCUGAUACGAACUCUGCGAAUGUAACGCCCAGUGGUGGCAGCUAUCCACACAAUACGCACGCGAAGACAAGCGCGACGAGCACGCGCACUCACCAUCAUGAAUUUCGCGCGCUGCAGCGUGUACAGGAGUGUCAUAGCUCGUCGGAUGAGAAUCGCUCGUCGGGCCAUGCAAGUAUGUCGGAUACCGGCGGCCAUGGUAGUUCCUCACCUGGUGGUGGCGUAGCGCUGGGACCGUUACCGGAAGAUCGGCUUGCCGCCGCCGUCACCAAUCGCAGCACGCGUUCACGCACAAGCACAAAUCAUUCGCGCGCGCGUCAUCGCGCCACACCGGCGACGAAAGCGCCAUGGAGCGGCAGCGGUUUGGAGGAUAUAAAAUUGGCCAUACAACAACUGACAAUGCGUUCGCAAACGAGCACCAGCACUUAUAGCAGCCUCAGCGCUGGUUCGGAGAGCUCAGAGCCCGCGCGACGCUUAGGACGUUACUCGUCGCUGGAGACAGUAAAUACAAAUGUGACGAACGCCGAUGAGUUUGUGUGGGUGGACUCACAUAAUCGCUUGGUGGAGUUGCAACAUCCACCUUGGAGCCAACACUGUAUAAUGCGCGUCAUCCGCAAUGGUCGUUGCAAGGAGCAGGCAGAACGCGUUUCAGUCGACACCAUACCGCGCUUAGGCUACCUGCUGCAACGUGCAUUGGUGCGUAUUGCGCGCGAAGUACAGCGCCUCUCCGCCUGCUUGGGUCUGUGUUCAAAGCAAGAAGUCGCAACUGCAUACAAGAUUGUGCUGUGUCCGGCACUGGCGGACUCUUGCAUUAAAGCGUGUCUGCGCGCGGCAGCAAUGUUCGCUGUAACCGGCGACAGCGCGCUCAAGCAAAGCAAGUCAGCGCGCGCUGGACUACAACUACCCGUGGGACGCUUUCAUCGUUGGAUGGCCGACGCGCGUCUGGGCAAAUUUAUACACGAAUAUGCGGCAGUGUACUUAUGUGCUGGUAUGGAAAAUCUACUCGAGGAGUUGCUGUUGCAAAGCUUUCCUGCAGACUCAGCCAGCCAGUUUACCACAGCGACGUUGGAUCAGUCGAUCGCGCACUCCGGUGACCUGUGGGGUCUUUUGCAGCCUUUUGCACACUUGAAUGCCGGACGCAUAGCAUCAGGUGCACUCACCAUGCCAAGAUGGGCAAGUCUGUCAUCACUUGGCUCAGGCACACAAAAGAGCGGCAGUUCAGGCGCCAAUAGCAAUGUCUCGCUGGAGCCUUGUCUGCUAACGACCUGUGUCGGUAGCAUAACUGAACUAAAAGACUUGACUUUGCGUGCACAACAAAAGUUUCAACACACAGCUCUCUCCAAUGCGGCACUCUCCACGCUCUUCUACUUUAUGCGCUGCUCACAGCUGGAACACAGCGACUUGAGUGGCGCGCCUUCAAGCGCCAGCGGUAGCGCGGGCGGCAGCAGUCAAAAUGUGCAAGAGUUAUGCUAUGAACGUGCGUAUGUGGUGCUGCCGCCUUUGGUGGAAUGGUUGCGCGUCGCUUCGGCGCACGCGGAAUACCGACACGCUGUCAUGAUUGAUAAGGACGACAUCAUGCAAGCAGCGCGCCUACUUUUACCAGGUGUAGACUGUCCAAUGCGUCCAAUUGGCCACGAAGAGGAGUUACCUACAAAGAAGACACAUUUCUCACACCCUGGCGCGACUACGCCCAUAGCAUCGAGCAUCAGUGAAGAUACCACGGAGUUGGGCAAACGCGCCACCAUCACGCUUGCUUUUAAACUCAUGCUUACCGGACGCGCUGAAUUAAUGGCGCAGGCGGCCAACCUGUUGCCGCCCACCACGCGUUAUGACACACUGAAUCAUGCCGGUUUGACGGCGCUUAUGAUCGCCGCAAUACGCAAUGACGAGGUGGCCAUACAGGCGCUACUCGAUGCCGGUUGCGAUCCAAACGUUGAAGUGCCACCUGUCGGUCAACCAAAUUUUCCGGGCGUACAUCCAGAUACGCAGCACUGGACGGCAGUGACAUUCGCCGCCAGUCGCGCCAAUUACUUGGCCUUGCGUUUGCUGUUGGAACGUGGUGGUAAGGUUGAAGGUGGUGCGCGUCUAAGUGAGGAGAAGCCAACGCUGACGCCACUGCAAGUGGCAUGCGGUUCCGGCAACGUCGAAGUUAUUUCAUUGCUGCUAGCGCAUGGCGCCAACGCAUUUCUCUCUACACAACAGAAAGACACUAUGUGUUUUGCGGGCGGCUCAGCGCAGCGUGGCUCUUAUUGCGCAAUCUCUGUGACCGCAGCGCACGGCCAGCGCGCUUGUCUGCGUAAACUGCUCUCGCAUCCAAUGUCGCCGGGGAGCAAAGACGUGCUUUCGCUCGAGGAAAUGCUAGCCGAAGGUGAACCUGUAGGUAAUGCGACGCGUGGUGGCGCAAGCGCGGCGAAUGCAGGCGGUGAGCGCAUAAGCGCCGACCUGCCGCUCACAUUAAACAAGACACAAAUCAAGAGUUUGCAGGAGGCAAUGUAUCACAGCGCGGAAAACAAUCAUCUCGAUAUUACAAUAGAGCUGCGCACCUUGGGCGUGCCCUGGACUCUGCACUGCUGGAUGCACGCAUUGGCGGCGGCGCAUGAGCUGCGCUUGGAUACUGUUAUCGACCAGCUGCUGCAGGAUUUCUUGCAAGUCUGUCCAGACGACUACAGCGCGCAGUUCGUGAGCGAGUGUCUGCCGCUGCUCUUCAAUAUAUUUCGCUAUAGCAAAAAUGAGGGCACAACACUGCUGCUGGCCGACAUUUUCGCCACUUGCUUUGGCUGGGAGACCAUCAAACAGAUAAAGGAGGCGGUCAUGCAAUCAGUGAACAGUUCGCGCAUAGAUCCCAAAUUUGUCAACAAUCCCGAGCUGAGCGAUGUGACUUUCAGAGUGGAGGGCAAAAUAUUUUAUGGCCACAAAAUAGUGCUCGUCACCGCCUCGCCGCGUUUCCAGAGCAUGCUCAGCUCUAAGCUGAGCGAUGGAAACACGCCCACAGUGCAGAUCAACGAUAUACGCUACCACAUCUUCCAGCUGGUCAUGCACUAUCUGUACAGCGGUGGCUGUGCCACAUUGGAGGUCAGUAACGCUGAUGUGUUAGAGCUGAUGGCGGCGGCGAGCUUCUUCCAGCUGGAAGGUUUGCUGCGCUACACCGAGUCACGUUGCUCGGAGAUGAUCGACAUCGACAAUGUGGUGGCCAUGUACAUACACGCGAAGGUCUACAACGCCAACAAGCUGCUCGAGUACUGCCAAGGUUUCUUGCUGCAGAACAUGGUCGCUUUGCUGACCUAUGACGACUCCGUCAAGCGCUUGCUCUUCGCCAAAAAGAUACCCAAUCACGAUGUGCUCUCCGGCCUGCUACACACGCUACAACAACGCAUCAAGCAGCGCAAACCUAUGGGCGUGGGCAACUUUCGCCAGCAGCUCAGCUCGCCGCCACCAGGCAGCGCAGGCGCUCAUCUUUUGAGCACAAGCCUGUGCAAUAACGUUGGCGGCAGUCUGGGUGCGAACAAGAAAUAAAUUUGCACUGUAAUAUACUACAACUGAAAGUACUUCCAACAUUUGCGCUGAAUUUGUGCAGCGUCGCCAGCCUUGUCUGCUGAAGAAGUGGCGUUUUGAGCUUAAAAAACACAAAACAAUUACAAUAUUGAUUUAAAAAUAUAGUAAAAGUUAUAUAUUUAAUGAAUUAAACAUAUUUAUAUGUUCGUAGCUGUAAUUACUCCUAUAAAUGAUCGACAUUUUAUCUUCCUUGAAGCAAAAUUCAACCAAUAAUCUUCAAAAGAUCGCAAACAAUUUGAGAAAUGACUCUUCAGUGUGCCGUAAUUGACGCAUCUGCACGUCUUCUCGCAACGCUGCCGAAGAGUCAUACGCAAUCAGCGUCAGCAACCGAACAAGUAGCGAG